CAGUCGCCGCGGGAAUACAGAGGGUGCGAGCGUUAAUCGGAUUCACUGGGCGUAAAGCGUGCGUAGGCGGCUUUUUAAGUCGGAUGUGAAAUCCCUGAGCUUAACUUAGGAAUUGCAUUCGAUACUGGGAAGCUAGAGUAUGGGAGAGGAUGGUAGAAUUCCAGGUGUAGCGGUGAAAUGCGUAGAGAUCUGGAGGAAUACCGAUGGCGAAGGCAGCCAUCUGGCCUAAUACUGACGCUGAGGUACGAAAGCAUGGGGAGCAAACAGGAUUAGAGACCCCAGUAGUCCCUGUCUCUUAUAC
rnacentral:rRNA from 1 species